AGGCGCAUUGGCAGAAUGGUAAUGCAACGGAUUGCAAAUCCGUGUACCUUGGUUCGAUUCCAAGAUGUGCCUU
rnacentral:tRNA from 1 species